CAAACKGAGGACUUUGGGUCCACCUCCCACCCGUGUUUAUUUUACCUUGUUGCUUCGGCGGGCCCGCCUUUACUGGCCGCCGGGGGGCUCACGCCCCCGGGCCCGCGCCCGCCGAAGACACCCCCGAACUCUGUCUGAAGAUUGAAGUCUGAGUGAAAAUAUAAAUUAUUUAAAACUUUCAACAACGGAUCUCUUGGUUCCGGCAUCGAUGAAGAACGCAGCGAAAUGCGAUACGUAAUGUGAAUUGCAAAUUCAGUGAAUCAUCGAGUCUUUGAACGCACAUUGCGCCCCCUGGUAUUCCGGGGGGCAUGCCUGUCCGAGCGUCAUUGCUGCCCUCAAGCCCGGCUUGUGUGUUGGGCCCCGUCCUCCGAUUCCGGGGGACGGGCCCGAAAGGCAGCGGCGGCACCGCGUCCGGUCCUCGAGCGUAUGGGGCUUUGUCACCCGCUCUGUAGGCCCGGCCGGCGCUUGCCGAUCAACCCAAAUUUUUAUCCAGGUUGACCUCGGAUCAGGUAGGGAUACCCGCUGAACUUAAGCAUAUCRAUAASGMAG
rnacentral:rRNA from 1 species